UCAUGAGAUGUCCCUUUAGAACACAGUUAAUGACAAAGUGAGGACUCUUGCAAAGAACCCCCGUAGCCAGGGAGCUGGACAUAUGAUGAAACGGCUGGAGCCUUCAUCUCCGCACACUGGCUUGACUUCCAAAGCGGGGGAAGAGGGUGCAGCUUGGACUCAUGCCCUCUAGCCAGUGAUUUAAUAAGCAUGCUCAUGUAAGAAAGCCAACACCUGGGAGGACUGGGUUUAGGGAGCCUGGGGUGCUGGGGGAGUGUAAACGCGGGUGCACUCUGUGAGGCUCUUUCCCUGUACCUUGACUCCGGCUCCUCUGUGUUCUUCUGUAAAGAGCUGACAGGCCCACUGCGUUUCCUUCCCAUAGUCCCCUGAGCCAUUCUAGCCGGUGAGCACACGUGAGGAGGGGCUUGUGGGACUCUUCGCCUUCUUGUUCAGUUGAUCAGAAGCCCAGACGGCCGAUGACCUGGACUUGGAGUCAGUGCCCUAGGUUGAGGUGCGCUUGUGGGACUGAACCCUGCAUCUGUGGGACACGGCGUUAACACCGGGUAGUUGCUGAGUUGAACCGUAGGAAAGGUAACAGGCCCUGCAGAGGACUGCGGAACUUACGAGGCUGUGGAGGAGCGCUCGCACACCUGCCCCUGGGGAGGGUCCUACGGUGAGAACAUGGAGAUCAGACGGCUUUCCUGAGUGAGGGAACAUGGUGGUGUUCUUCCCCUUUCCUGACAAAGGCGGGUGAUUCCCAACACAGCCCGCCCACAGAAUCCUGGCGGCGAGGGGGAUUGCCAUCUGAUACCCAUAUCUCUGGGUAUGUAGGCCUUUGGGGGGGGGGGUUCUCCACCCACAUGCCACCUGUAUGCUCUGAGACAUACCUCUGGAUGGAUGGGGAAGCCUGGGCUACAGUUGGGCUCCACUCUGCUCCCUGGGGAGGAAGGGGUGGGGCUGACUUAGGCAGGUCUACACCCAAAGGCCAGAUUCUCAGCUUGACCGUUCCUGCCCAGGAGGAGCAACCUCAGUGCCUUAACUGCUGUGGCCCAGAGAAGCUAGAAGUCUGCAGAGCAAUGGCAGUGGAUGGAGAGCAGAACUGAUGACCUUGGUGGAAACACCACAAACACAAAGCAUCCUGGUCACAUAGCUACCGCCAGUGUCCCACGAGGCUGAGUGGUCGCACUGCCCUGGGGAGCUGACUCCUUCUAAUCCACUCUGCCUUCCCCCGGGUAGUCUCAAGAAGGUCUCUCUCCUUCUUAAGCCCAGUCUUCCAUUCCUGAUCAGGGUACCCAGCCCUCUCGAGCCUCGAUGUUUGAUGCUGUGGCGAGGCGAUAGGAGGCUGGCAGUAACUGCUUCCAUGUUUGCGCAGGGAAGUGAAACACCUGGAGGCAGCCAUCCCUCACUCUGCCCAUGGCUCCAAAGAAAACGGAGAACCCGGAGCCUGCCCUGCUCCCUGCUAGAUGCAAGGCUUGCCCUCCUCCUCCUGUAACAUCCCUGACUAGCAGUUCCCUCUCACAAUGCGUGACAGAAGGCUGGCGGAGCCACAUCCCGAGUCAGGAUGGCUCUCCUGAGGACAAGGACCAGUGGCGUCCGCUUGCAAGGCUGUCCUGGGGACUCUAGGCAAAGGAAGGGGAUGAGCCUGCUGCUGCUGAUCCAGCUCCUACAAACUCUUGCUUAGCACAAGGCCUGGAAUAACCAGGACAGGCAGAAAACCUCGCCUUCCAAACCCUGCUUCUAAGGAAAGGACCGGGAGCAACAACACAGAGUGAGUCCUGAAGUGGGCUGAGGGGAAGGGGGCAUGGUGGUGAUGUGGGACACUGGCUUAGUCACACCAGCCGAGCAUGGGGGAGAUCGCAUAGCCAACCUCAACCUUGGGCCUCAACCCACCUUUGGACCAAGCAAGAAGGACAAAGCAUGGGACAUUGGAGAACCAGUCAUUCCUGAUUCUUUUCCCUAAAAAUAGGGACAAAAGAAAUCCAUUCCACAAAGGAAACUAAGAACAAUUACAAUGGCCACAGCUCGAAUAAACGAGGCUAAGGAAGGGUCCCCACAAGUGACAACCUCAAAGGGGUGAAUAGAUCGAGAGUUAGACACAGAGAAGGACAGAAAGGAAAAGCAGAGGAAGAAACAAGAAAUGGCAGAGCUGUUGCAAUUAGACUAGGUGCUGAGAUGACAUUUUGAGAGCGGGGCGUGGGCUCUAGGGGAAUGUAAUUAAGUGAACUGCACGCAUUAUUUUAAAUCCUGUUCGCAUUAAUGCUGUAAAUACCCCCCACUUAAUUAAUCAUUAUUGAAUUUGCCAGCAGUGCCCAGGGGCAAGACUUCAACUUAAAGUUUAAUUACAAAUAGGGUGGACCAGAUUUCCUGUCCCUGAGAGCGGCCCACAGGACGAGGCUAGGGGUUGGGGGCAGCUUUUGUGGCAGCCGGGGGUCAGGUACCAUUCCAAACACAGCAGUCACUGUCCAGGGGACGUCCCAGGACACUAGCAGAACCCUGGGUUCCCGGAGGUUGUCCAACAAGCACCAGCAAGCUUGCAAGGUGAGGCGGUUUGAGGGAAAGGCUGUUCUAAACUGUUGGAAAGAAACCUCCAAACCUACCCACUCUUCAGUUCCUCAUGUCCGGAGAAGCCAUGAGCCUGGCUGUUCACAGUCAUACAUGUGACUGCCAUGCCACAUCAUGUGUCUCCCGGCUACCCAGCUCCUGUGCAUGUGUUUAAUUAAUAGCAAUGGUCGACCCUGAAGUAUGGCUUACUUCCUAACUCGUCCACUUCUGUGAGGGUCAAAGUCGAAGUUCCCUUUCUCCUCAUCCUGUUCUACCACGCCCCAGAGCCUCUGGCUUGCUGGAAAUACAAGUUAGACUGAGAUAGUCAACUACAAAACGCACAGAAUUUACUACAGAAUUGCUAUAGGGAGAAGGCCACGACCAAGAGCUCCACAGGAAGGGCCAGGCUCUCAUCACCCCAAAGCCUUAGGCAGGAACCAAAGAGCCAAGUGUCUUGGUCCCUUGUGAUAACCGUGUCACCUGACAGAUGUGACUGCAGGAGGAAACAUCUGUUUUGACACCUGGUUUUAGAAGCAUCACGGAUGGUGUAGUAAAGUCCAGGUGGCCAGAAUGUGGCACAGAGGCCAUACACUUCACAGUGGAGGGUAGGAGGUCAGAAGCAGAAUAUAAGUUGGAACCAGGGGUAGGUUCAGAGGCCUGCCUCCCAGUGACCCCACUUCUACCAGCCAGGCCCCACUUCCUAAAGACUUCACAAAUGUCUAACUCAAGGAGCUAGAGAGAUGGUUCACUGGUUAAGAAGAGCACUGGCUGCUCUUCCAGAGGAUCCAAGUUUGAGUCUCAAUACCCACAUAGCAGCUCACAGUUCCAGGGCCUCUGUCGCCCUCUUCUGGCCCCUUAAGGCACUGCACCCAAGUGGUGCACAUACACACAUGCAGGCACACACUAAUAUGCAUAAAAUAAUAAAUUAUUUUAAAAAAUAGCUCCAUAAGCCAGGGACCAGGAGUUUCACAGUAUAAGCCUAUAUGGGGAUAUUUUGGAUCUGAACUACAGCACUACAGGGGCAUAUUACUAAGUUUUAAACAUUUGAUUCUGCUCGUUCCGACAUGGUGCUAGAAGCCGUUGUAUCACAGAAACCUGGAUCCCCUGGGGGCCUUUUCAACUUUCCUGUGUGCCACAGGCAGAACGCAAGCCCCAGGUCCUUAGUUAGAUGAGGCCAAGAGGAAAGUCAUGGUGUCCCACCUGGGGUAGCUAAAACCAAAUUAGGUAUGGCCUGACCAGAAGAUUAGAUGGAAUAACUAUGUGUUAUCAUUAAUGCAUACUAUUUUCCUUAGAUCAUGGUAAGGCUAAGUUUAAAUGAGAAGCUGUGGUGUGCGUUAGGGGUGUGCUCUGGAGAGGAAGUGCAGGAGAAGGCUUUGUGAUCAAUUGUCAUGUCCCUCCAGUCUAGUUUCCCCUCUCUUGCCCAGCUUCAUGAACACCCAUCACACCAGGUCUUUGAACGGUAAUUCACAAGGCGAAAUUAUUGGUGGCUGUGUAAUGUGGCCCAUUUUCCUGACUCCUUUGAAGGGCGGGCAAUUAGACCAUCAGAUACAAUUACCACCGCCAUGGUUGGUGUCACUUAAAAUAGGCAAGAGAGAGAGAGACCAGGAGGACCAGGCGUUUCCUCCACCAUCAGCUUGGAAUGUUCAAAUGAAACCCACCAAUUAUUUUCCCCCAAUUACUCAUGAAAGGUAAUCUAAGUGGGAGAAAAAUCGGAUGCUGGAUAAGAGAGAUAACAGGUAAUUUACCCUGGGAGAGAGCUGUUCAAGCCACCUGUCUCUGAGGCUCCUAUUGUGAGCUGUUUGAAUGGCACCCAUAGUCCCAUGACAACCAGAUGAGUGGGCUUUAUUCCAAACCAUGGUUGCCUUAUCUUUACAUCUGGGGCAAGGGGUGGGGAGGGACGGGAUUAGCCUUCAUUUUCCAAAUGGCACCAGAGGGCAGAGGAGGAAGGCUCAGUUGUUCAAGUGCUUGUCUGGCACACACAAGCAGUUGAGUUCCAACCCCAGAGUGCAAUUCUUUUCAAAGCUGCAGUCAGUGCGGGAUGCUUCUAUGACCCCCACCUACCACAAUGUAGAGGCAUCUCUCCAUCAAGCAACCUGGAGUCACCAGCUAGGUAUCGCCUGAUUCGAUGCAGUUCUGACCCGGUCUGCCUGGAAGCAGUUUCGUGUCUAGGGAGUCUGUGGGUGAGUUUUAGUAGAGUCUCACUUUAUCUCCCUAGCCAGUAACAGGUUCUCCUGGGGACGCAGGCCUGUAGCAAUAUCUGCUUGGGAGGCUGAGGCAGGAGGCUCACAGAGCUACAGACAAAGACCUGGGGGCGUGGCUUGGUGGUAGAACAUUUGCAAGCAAGCACACGUGGGGCUGCGAGCUUGAUCUUUAUUUUAGUCUGUGGGCCGCGGGCCAGGAGGGGAGUGGCACUUACAAGUAAAUAAUGUGCUGUGAGGAAGGUGCAGAGAAUGUUCCAGAGCUGAGACCCCGCCCACUAGUGCGUGGGCGGGGCAACAAGGCAGACGCUGCUACAUAGCAGGCAAAGGGAGGUGGGGAGCUGGAGGUCGUGGUAUAAAUGGAGCAAUUAAGUCACAAAGCUUCACACAUGGGUUACAGCAGAUAACAAGUGUUUUUCUUGCACAUGCGCAUACAUGUUUUUAAAAAGCCAGAAUGACCGGAAGCCUUAGAGGAAACAAACGGAAAGGAGGGGCCAGAGACGAUGCUGCAGCUGUGAGGUAUUUCCGUUUUCUCAAUCAGCUUUCUUCCAGUAUUAAAAAGAGUUGAAGUCCCAAAUCAAUAGCCUGCCUUGACGACUCACGGACAAGACAGCAAGUUACAACUGUAACCCCGGCUCUAAGGGACCUGACAUCCUCUUCUGGCCUCCGAGGACAACGGCAUGCACGCGGUGCACGUCCAAACGCUCGAACACACAUAAAAUAAAAAUAAGUAAAUCUUUCAAGGAAGCAAACCUUUUGCUGCCGUGCCAUCUCAGUGACGUUCUUGAGUAUUUAGAGAAUAAUCCGUCGCUUGCAUGUAGCUUUCGGUAAACUGCUGAGAGCACUUUUCUUCAUUCAUCUAUGUGUGGACACACUCGUGCAGGCACAUGAGUGUGCCUGGGGAGGUCAGAGAACAGCUUGCAGGGCUCAGUUCUCACCUUCCACCAGGUGGGACCGGGGGGUUGAACUCAUAUUGUCAAGCUUGCCAGCGAGUGCCUUAACCUCUUAAGCUACUUUGCUCGCCCUGGAACAGUUUCAGAUGUACCAAAGAAAUGAAAAAAAAAAAAAAAAAAAAAAAAAAAAAAC